rnacentral:rRNA from 1 species
GUAACACGUGAGCAACCUGCCCCUGACUCUGGGAUAAGCGCUGGAAACGGCGUCUAAUACUGGAUAUGUGACGUGACCGCAUGGUCUGCGUUUGGAAAGAUUUUUCGGUUGGGGAUGGGCUCGCGGCCUAUCAGCUUGUUGGUGAGGUAAUGGCUCACCAAGGCGUCGACGGGUAGCCGGCCUGAGAGGGUGACCGGCCACACUGGGACUGAGACACGGCCCAGACUCCUACGGGAGGCAGCAGUGGGGAAUAUUGCACAAUGGGCGGAAGCCUGAUGCAGCAACGCCGCGUGAGGGAUGACGGCCUUCGGGUUGUAAACCUCUUUUAGCAGGGAAGAAGCGAAAGUGACGGUACCUGCAGAAAAAGCGCCGGCUAACUACGUGCCAGCAGCCGCGGUAAUACGUAGGGCGCAAGCGUUAUCCGGAAUUAUUGGGCGUAAAGAGCUCGUAGGCGGUUUGUCGCGUCUGCUGUGAAAUCCCGAGGCUCAACCUCGGGCCUGCAGUGGGUACGGGCAGACUAGAGUGCGGUAGGGGAGAUUGGAAUUCCUGGUGUAGCGGUGGAAUGCGCAGAUAUCAGGAGGAACACCGAUGGCGAAGGCAGAUCUCUGGGCCGUAACUGACGCUGAGGAGCGAAAGGGUGGGGAGCAAACAGGCUUAGAUACCCUGGUAGUCCACCCCGUAAACGUUGGGAACUAGUUGUGGGGUCCAUUCCACGGAUUCCGUGACGCAGCUAACGCAUUAAGUUCCCCGCCUGGGGAGUACGGCCGCAAGGCUAAAACUCAAAGGAAUUGACGGGGACCCGCACAAGCGGCGGAGCAUGCGGAUUAAUUCGAUGCAACGCGAAGAACCUUACCAAGGCUUGACAUAUACGAGAACGGGCCAGAAAUGGUCAACUCUUUGGACACUCGUAAACAGGUGGUGCAUGGUUGUCGUCAGCUCGUGUCGUGAGAUGUUGGGUUAAGUCCCGCAACGAGCGCAACCCUCGUUCUAUGUUGCCAGCACGUAAUGGUGGGAACUCAUGGGAUACUGCCGGGGUCAACUCGGAGGAAGGUGGGGAUGACGUCAAAUCAUCAUGCCCCUUAUGUCUUGGGCUUCACGCAUGCUACAAUGGCCGGUACAAAGGGCUGCAAUACCGUGAGGUGGAGCGAAUCCCAAAAAGCCGGUCCCAGUUCGGAUUGAGGUCUGCAACUCGACCUCAUGAAGUCGGAGUCGCUAGUAAUCGCAGAUCAGCAACGCUGCGGUGAAUACGUUCCCGGGUCUUGUACACACCGCCCGUCAAGUCAUGAAAGUCGGUAACACCUGA